UACGGGGGGGCAAGCGUUGUUCGGAAUUAUUGGGCGUAAAGAGCUCGUAGGCGGUUUGUCGCGUCUGCUGUGAAAACGCGAGGCUCAACCUCGCGCCUGCAGUGGGUACGGGCAGACUAGAGUGUGGUAGGGGAGAUUGGAAUUCCUGGUGUAGCGGUGGAAUGCGCAGAUAUCAGGAGGAACACCGAUGGCGAAGGCAGAUCUCUGGGCCGAUACUGACGCUGAGGAGCGAAAGCGUGGGGAGCGAACAGG
rnacentral:rRNA from 1 species